AACGAACGCUGGCGGCAGGCCUAACACAUGCAAGUCGAGGGGGAAGCCACUUUCGGGUGGUGGAGACCGGCGCACGGGUGAGUAACGCGCGGGCACCUGCCCUCGGGGUGGGGGAUAACCGCUGGAAACGGCGGCUAAUACCGCAUACGCCCUAUUUCGUAGAGGAGAUGGGGGAAAGAUUUAUUGCCCUGGGAUGGGCCCGCGUUGGAUUAGCUUGUUGGUGGGUAAAGGCCUACCAAGGCGACGAUCCAUAGCUGGUCUGAGAGGAUGAUCAGCCACACUGGGACUGAGACACGGCCCAGACUCCUACGGGAGGCAGCAGUGGGGAAUAUUGGACAAUGGGGGCAACCCUGAUCCAGCCAUGCCGCGUGCGUGAAGAAGGCUUUAGGGUUGUAAAGCGCUUUCACCGGUGACGAUGAUGACGGUAGCCGGAGAAGAAGCCCCGGCUAACUCCGUG
rnacentral:rRNA from 1 species